UGAAUUUUUAUAAUUGUUUUGGGACUUUAAAUUAGAAGAGUAGAAUCUUGAACCUAGAACGGUAUUAAAAGCGAGUGGAUCGCAUUUUUUUAAACGCAUAAAAGCAGCCCUGAUCUAAUAGACGAGUUUCGUGACGAUGAAAUUCCUUGAACGACCCCGAAGGUUCUUCCACGGAAGACAAUGUCCCAGGUCGGAGGGACAACUGGAACGCCGUGAGAGGGUGGGAGUGCGGAGAAGUAGCUCCUAUAUUAAAUCAUGGCGAGGCCACUUCCCAAACUCAGUCCUACGUUGAACGUUGGAGCACGCAAGAAACUCCUGCCCCCUUACUCUUCAUCGAUUUUUUGAUUCCAUCAAGCAACAAGUCGUCCUUCAUCAUAAUUCUUUGAAAGAUUUCUGGUGAACAGUGUCCGUCGUGUUCAAAUUUUUCAUUCAAAAUAGAGAAUUGUUGAAGUCUCUCGUUGAA
rnacentral:lncRNA from 1 species